rnacentral:rRNA from 1 species
AACGUAGGAGGCAAGCGUUAUCCGGAGUUACUGGGCGUAAAGAGUGCGUAGGCGGACCUGUAAGUGGGUGGUGAAAGCGCCCGGCUAAACCGGGCGAGGUUCAUUCAGACUGCAGGUCUAGAGGCGGAUAGAGGGGUGCGGAAUUCCGGGUGUAGCGGUGAAAUGCGCAGAUAUCAGGAGGAACACCGGUGGCGAAGGCGGGUCUCUGGGCAGUAACUGACGCUGAGGAGCGAAAGCGUGGGGAGCGAACAGG